UCAUGGCUCAGUUGGUAGAGCAACGCAUUCGUAAUGCGUGGGUCGGGGGUUCGAGUCCCCCUGAU
rnacentral:tRNA from 1 species